GUUGAGGAGGUUGGACUUGACCUUGAGGGCAGUGGAGAACCACUGAAGUAUUUAGGCUGUGGAGAGACUGAAUCCGAUUUGCAUUUUCAGAAAGACCCUUCAGCCACAGUGGAAGGAUGUGAAUCACAGUAUCCAGGGGAGAGAAGGCAGAGGGGAAGGUAAGAAUACAUGGUACAUGCAGUAUUUCAUUCUGCAAGACGCAGCCAACAGCACA
rnacentral:lncRNA from 1 species